rnacentral:rRNA from 1 species
UUGCCCUAGUAACGGCGAGUGAAGCGGCAACAGCUCAAAUUUGAAAUCUGGCUUCGGCCCGAGUUGUAAUUUGUAGAGGAAGCUUUAGGCGCGGCACCUUCUGAGUCCCCUGGAACGGGGCGCCAUAGAGGGUGAGAGCCCCGUAUAGUUGGAUGCCUAGCCUGUGUAAAGCUCCUUCGACGAGUCGAGUAGUUUGGGAAUGCUGCUCAAAAUGGGAGGUAAAUUUCUUCUAAAGCUAAAUACCGGCCAGAGACCGAUAGCGCACAAGUAGAGUGAUCGAAAGAUGAAAAGCACUUUGAAAAGAGGGUUAAAUAGCACGUGAAAUUGUUGAAAGGGAAGCGCUUGUGACCAGACUUGCGCCGGGCGGAUCAUCCGGUGUUCUCACCGGUGCACUCCGCCCGGCUCAGGCCAGCAUCGGUUCUCGCGGGGGGAUAAAGGUCCUGGGAACGUAGCUCCUCCGGGAGUGUUAUAGCCCAGGGCGUAAUGCCCUCGCGGGGACCGAGGUUCGCGCAUCUGCAAGGAUGCUGGCGUAAUGGUCAUCAGCGACCCGUCUUGAAACACGGACCAAGGAGUCAAGGUUUUGCGCGAGUGUUUGGGUGUAAAACCCGCACGCGUAAUGAAAGUGAACGUAGGUGAGAGCUUCGGCGCAUCAUCGACCGAUCCUGAUGUAUUCGGAUGGAUUUGAGUAAGAGCGUUAAGCCUUGGACCCGAAAGAUGGUGAACUAUGCUUGGAUAGGGUGAAGCCAGAGGAAACUCUGGUGGAGGCUCGCAGCGUUUCUGACGUGCAAAUCGAUCGUCAAAUCUGAGCAUGGGGCGAAAG